CUAUGAAAAAGAAAAUUGGAGUAACAUUAAUGCUGCUGUAAGUGAGUGGAGUUAGCCGAGUGAUCGGAGUGAGCUGAACUAGCAGUAUGAGCUAGGUUAUCUGAGUGAAUGGGUUAUCUGAGUGAGCUAGGUUAGCAGUAUUAGCUAGGUUAUCUGAGUGAGCGGAUUUAGCAGUAUGAGCUAGGUUAUCUGAGUUAGCUGAGUUAUCUGAGUGAGCUAGGUUAGCAGUAUUAGCUAGGUUAUCUGAGUGAGCGGAUUUAGCAGUAUGAGCUAGGUUAUCUGAGUUAGCUGAGUUAUCUGAGUGAGCUAGGUUAGCAGUAUUAGCUAGGUUAUCUGAGUUAGCUGAGUUAGCAGUAUGAGCUAGGUUAUCUGAGUUAGCUGAGUUAUCUGAGUGAGCUAGGUUAGCAGUAUUAGCUAGGUUAUCUGAGUGAGCGGAUUUAGCAGUAUGAGCUAGGUUAUCUGAGUGAGCUGAGUUAGCAGUAUUAGCUAGGUUAUCUGAGUGAGCGGACUUAGGAGUAUGAGCUAGGUUAUCUGAGUUAGCUGAGUUAUCUGAGUGAGCUAGGUUUGCAGUAUGAGCUAGGUUAUCUGAGUGAGCGGAUUUAGCAGUAUGAGCUAGGUUAUCUGAGUUAGCUGAGUUAUCUGAGUGAGCUAGGUUUGCAGUAUGAGCUGGGUUAUCUGAGUGAGCGGAUUUAGCAGUAUGAGCUAGGUUAUCUGAGUUAGCUGAGUUAUCUGAGUGAGCUAGGUUUGCAGUAUGAGCUGGGUUAUCUGAGUGAGCUGAGUUAGCAGUAUUAGCUAGGUUAUCUGAGUGAGCGGACUUAGCAGUAUGAGCUAGGUUAUCUGAGUUAGCUGAGUUAUCUGAGUGAGCUAGGUUAGCAGUAUUAGCUAGGUUAUCUGAGUGAGCGGAUUUAGCAGUAUGAGCUAGGUUAUCUGAGUGAGCUGAGUUAGCAGUAUUAGCUAGGUUAUCUGAGUGAGCGGACUUAGCAGUAUGAGCUAGGUUAUCUGAGUUAGCUGAGUUAUCUGAGUGAGCUAGGUUUGCAGUAUGAGCUAGAUUAUCUGAGUGAGCUGGGUCUGGGCUAGCAGUAUUAGCUAGGUUAUCAGAGUGAGCUGAAUUAGCAGAAUGAGCUAGAUUAUCUGAGUGAGCUGAGUUAGCAGUGUGAAAUAGGCUAUUGAGUGAGCUGGGUUAUCUGAGUGAGCUAGGUUAUCUGAGUGAAUUGGGUUAUCUGAGUAAACUGAGUUAGCAGUGUGAACUAGGUUAUUGAGUGAGCUGGGUUAUCAGAGUGAGCUGAACUAGCAGAAUGAGCUAGGUUAUCUGAGUGAGUUGAGUUAGCAAUAUAAACUAGGUUAUCUGAGUUAGCAGUAUAAGCUAGGUUAUCUGAGUGAGUUGAGUUAGCAGUAUAAACUAGGUUAUCUGAGUGAGUUGAGUUAGCAGUAUAAACUAGGUUAUCUGAGUUAGCAGUAUAAACUAGGUUAUCUGAGUGAGUUGAGUUAGCAGUAUAAACUAGGUUAUCUGAGUUAGCAGUAUAAGCUAGGUUAUCUGAGUGAGUUGAGUUAGCAGUAUAAACUAGGUUAUCUGAGUUAGCAGUAUAAGCUAGGUUAUCUGAGUGAGCUGAGUUAGCAGUAUAAGCUAGGUUAUCUGAGUGAGCUUUAUGAAAAGCCCACGAAAAGUGAAGAUGUGUAUAGUGGUAGUAAAUAUGGAGUGAACAUGGGAUGAACCAGUUUUGGGAUUAUUGUAUGUAUGUCUUUAACAUGUAACUUAUGUCUAUUU